rnacentral:rRNA from 1 species
UACGUAGGGGGCGAGCGUUGUCCGGAUUCAUUGGGCGUAAAGCGCGCGCAGGCGGCUAGGCAAGUCGGCCGUGAAAUCUCCGGGCUCAACUCGGAGGGGUCGGGCGAGACUGCGUAGCUAGAGGCAGGUAGAGGGCCGUGGAAUUCCGGGUGUAGUGGUGGAAUGCGUAGAGCUCCGGAGGAACACAAGUGGCGAAGGCGGCGGCCUGGGCCUGACCUGACGCUGAGGCGCGAAAGCGUGGGGAGCGAGCCGG